CGGCAGAGGUGGAAUCUAGGUUUGGAUCGAGGAGGAAAUUUGUGUCACCACCUAUUAUGAUAUCGCCAAACUUAUGUGCAACUGAUAGAGUGAGAACCUUAUCCAAGAAGGCCUGUUGGUCCGUGUGUGGGCCAUAGACAUUAACCAGGGUGAAUUGGGCAUUGUUAAUUACACAUUGUAAAAUGAGAUACCUCCCAUCCAUAUCGCCUAUUCUUUUUAUCAAUUG